rnacentral:rRNA from 1 species
UGGGGAAUAUUGCACAAUGGGCGCAAGCCUGAUGCAGCCAUGCCGCGUGUAUGAAGAAGGCCUUCGGGUUGUAAAGUACUUUCAGCGGGGAGGAAGGUGUUGAGGUUAAUAACCUCAGCAAUUGACGUUACCCGCAGAAGAAGCACCGGCUAACUCCGUGCCAGCAGCCGCGGUAAUACGGAGGGUGCAAGCGUUAAUCGGAAUUACUGGGCGUAAAGCGCACGCAGGCGGUCUGUCAAGUCGGAUAUGAAAUCCCCGGGCUCAACCUGGGAACUGCAUUCGAAACUGGCAGGCUAGAGUCUUGUAGAGGGGGGUAGAAUUCCAGGUGUAGCGGUGAAAUGCGUAGAGAUCUGGAGGAAUACCGGUGGCGAAGGCGGCCCCCUGGACAAAGACUGACGCUCAGGUGCGAAAGCGUGGGGAGCAAACA